UGCAAAUUUGAAGGUCACCCUACCUCC
rnacentral:piRNA from 1 species